rnacentral:lncRNA from 1 species
AUUUCAAGCUCCUAAUCAUGUCAAGGAUAUUUACCUCAAAGAACUUAAAGAUCAAUAUAUUCUUAUAUCACAAAAAAAGACUAAAAAAUUACUCAAAGAUGAUAUAGUAUUAAACUUAAAUGGCUAUUGCCAAAGACAAAAAGACUAAAAAAUCUUGAAAUAAGAUUAAGAAUUAAAAAAGCAUUGACAUGAGAUAUCAUAAAAUGAGCAAUAUAAAUGCCUAAUACAAAGAAGGCUUCACUCUUACCUCAAUAUAUACUAUCUAACUAAGAGUUAUAUGGUGAUGUUCUAUAAAAACUUCAAU